GUUGGGCUCCACGGAGCUGCGACGACGGUAGCCUCGGCCAGGAAGCGACCCAUGGACCAAUGGUGGGAGCAUUUGGCAAGGACACACUCACUCAAGAACCAGACAUUGGCCUGUGAUGGGAAACAAGCUCGAGGAUGCCAGAUGGCUAUAGACUUGAUCCUUCCACUCUCACAGCCGUCAACAACAUCGGGGCGAUUCGUUUUGCUGCCUGGUGGGCUAUUGUUUACUGCUGUCUGCUUGCUGCUGAAUGAAGCAGCUAGCAAAUAUUGUUCCAAACUAAAAGUUGUAGUGGUUUGGUGUGAUGAGGAAGCCAGAAAAUUAAUGAUUUUCUGUACAAUUGGCACUGGACAUUCUUUCUGUAUCCAGAUUCAUUGAAGCAUGUAAUAUUUCAUCUUUGUACCAUGCUUCUAUUUAAGAGGUGUGCAGACUCUCACUGUUUCGUUUGAAUAUGCCAACCAUCAUGUUUAUUUUGCAAUUACCUACGACACUAGAUGAAGCACUUAUAUGUAAAUAUUACUGCAGAGUGUUUAUCA